rnacentral:rRNA from 1 species
CAGCAGCCGCGGUAAUACGAGGGGUGCAAGCGUUAAUCGGAAUUACUGGGCGUAAAGCGUGCGUAGGCGGUUUGUUAAGUCUGCUGUGAAAUCCCCGGGCUCAACCUGGGAAUGGCAGUGGAUACUGGCAAGCUAGAGUGUGUCAGAGGAUGGUGGAAUUCCCGGUGUAGCGGUGAAAUGCGUAGAGAUCGGGAGGAACAUCAGUGGCGAAGGCGGCCAUCUGGGACAACACUGACGCUGAGGCACGAAAGCGUGGGGAGCAAACAGGAUUAGAUACCCCCGUAGUCCCUGUCUCUUAUAC